rnacentral:rRNA from 1 species
CAAGUCGAGCGGAAGGCCACUUCGGUGGUACUCGAGCGGCGAACGGGUGAGUAACACGUGAGUAAUCUGCCCUCCACUUUGGGAUAGCCACCGGAAACGGUGAUUAAUACCGGAUAUGACCUCGGCCCGCAUGGGUUGUGGUGGAAAGUUUUUCGGUGGGGGAUGUGCUCGCGGCCUAUCAGCUUGAUGGUGGGGUAAUGGCCUACCAUGGCUUCGACGGGUAGCCGGCCUGAGAGGGUGACCGGCCACACUGGGACUGAGACACGGCCCAGACUCCUACGGGAGGCAGCAGUGGGGAAUAUUGGACAAUGGGCGGAAGCCUGAUCCAGCAACGCCGCGUGAGGGAUGACGGCCUUCGGGUUGUAAACCUCUUUCAGCACAGACGAAGCGAAAGUGACGGUAUGUGCAGAAGAAGCACCGGCCAACUACGUGCCAGCAGCCGCGGUAAUACGUAGGGUGCGAGCGUUGUCCGGAAUUAUUGGGCGUAAAGGGCUCGUAGGCGGUUUGUCGCGUCGGGAGUGAAAACACACAGCUUAACUGUGUGCUGGCUUCCGAUACGGGCAGACUAGAGGUAUGCAGGGGAGAACGGAAUUCCUGGUGUAGCGGUGAAAUGCGCAGAUAUCAGGAGGAACACCGGUGGCGAAGGCGGUUCUCUGGGCAUUACCUGACGCUGAGGAGCGAAAGUGUGGGGAGCGAACAGGAUUAGAUACCCUGGUAGUCCACACCGUAAACGUUGGGCGCUAGGUGUGGGGCCUAUUCCAUGGGUUCCGUGCCGCAGCUAACGCAUUAAGCGCCCCGCCUGGGGAGUACGGCCGCAAGG